UACGUAGGGUGCAAGCGUUAAUCGGAAUUACUGGGCGUAAAGCGUGCGCAGGCGGUUCUAUAAGACAGAUGUGAAAUCCCCGGGCUCAACCUGGGAACUGCAUUUGUGACUGUAGAGCUGGAGUACGGCAGAGGGGGAUGGAAUUCCGCGUGUAGCAGUGAAAUGCGUAGAUAUGCGGAGGAACACCGAUGGCGAAGGCAAUCCCCUGGGCCUGUACUGACGCUCAUGCACGGAAGCGUGGGGAGCAAACAGG
rnacentral:rRNA from 1 species